rnacentral:rRNA from 1 species
UUGUAGUCUGCAACUCGACUACAUGAAGCUGGAAUCGCUAGUAAUCGCGAAUCAGCAUGUCGCGGUGAAUACGUUCCCGGGUCUUGUACACACCGCCCGUCACACCAUGGGAGUUGGUAACGCCCGAAGCCAGUGACCCAACCGGAAACGGAGGGAGCUGUCGAAGGUGGGACCGAUAACUGGGGUGAAGUCGUAACAAGGUAAC